AUGGAAAGAAGAUACUUAAUCGAUAAACCAAAUCUGAAUUGAGAAGAGCUAGUAGAAGCAGUGAAUAGAAGAUUUGAUAACGGCAGUAUGAAGCAGCUAAUUAGAAAAUUUAAUAAAUUAAUACAAAUAGGUACUAUGAAGAAAUAUCAGGAGAAGUUUGAAGACAUGAGAGCUAGAAUGUUGCAUUACAACUCAGCACUAACUGAAAGAUACUUCAUAGAAAGUUAUAUCGGUGG
rnacentral:lncRNA from 1 species